CCGGCGACCGGCGCACGGUGAGUAACACGUAUGCAACCUGGCCGCCACAGGGGGAUAACCCGCGGAAACGCGGCCUAAUACCCCGUGACGCCACCGGAGGGCAUCCUCCGGUGGCCAAAGGAGCGAUCCGGUGGCGGAUGGGCAUGCGGCGCAUUAGCUAGACGGCGGGGUGACGGCCCACCGUGGCGACGAUGCGUAGGGGUUCUGAGAGGAAGGCCCCCCACACUGGGACUGAGACACGGCCCAGACUCCUACGGGAGGCAGCAG
rnacentral:rRNA from 1 species